rnacentral:rRNA from 1 species
GUUAGGAAUAUUGGACAAUGGGCGAAAGCCUGAUCCAGCCAUGCCGCGUGAACGAUGAAGGCCUUCGGGUUGUAAAGUUCUUUAGCCGAUGAUUAUAAUGACUGUAGUCGGAAAAUAAGCCCCGGCUAACUUCGUGCCAGCAGCCGCGGUAAUACGAAGGGGGCGAGCGUUAUUCGGAAUCACUGGGCGUAAAGCGUGCGUAGGCGGUUUUGUAAGUUAGUAGUGAAAGCCCAGGGCUCAACCUUGGAAUUGCUCUUAAAACUGCAAGGCUCGAAUCUCGGAGAGGAUAGCGGAAUUUCCAGUGUAGCAGUGAAAUGCGUAGAUAUUGGAAGGAACACCAGUGGCGUAAGCGGCUAUCUGGACGAGUAUUGACGCUGAGGCACGAAAGCGUGGGGAUCAAACAGGAUUAGAAACCCGAGUAGUCC